ensembl:lncRNA
AUCAGUGGUGACUGUCAGUUAAUGUACAAAUGGCAGAAAUGUAUGGAAAAAUCAAUUAAAGACAUAAUCAAAAAGACGACUAACACUAUCAAUAGCAAUUAUUAUAUGUUGCAAUCAAAAUUAUAGCAAAAUUUGGUAGUUCUGUAUGUUGUUUCAGGGUUGGCAUCAUCUGAGGUCCUCUGAGGGGUUGGCAUCAUCUCUUCUCAGGUGUUCGUGAUCCAAACUGAAGCUUGUGUAAAUCCUAGUUACCCCCGUUACCUAAUCAAUCCCAUAGCAAAAACAGAGAAACAAAUAGAGACAUAAUUAGUGUAGCUGCUAUUCCAACCAAGCAAAAUGUAUUUGUUUAACCCAAGCUAAAUAAUAAUAAUAAUAUGCAUUUGAUCAGAUAUAAGUGCAGUACAAGAUUGUGGGAUGUAUUAUUUGAAUGGUUGGCCAAAGAGAUGUGUCUUUAAUCUAGAUUUAAACAGAGAGAGUGUAUCUGAACCCCGAAUGUUAUCAGGCAGGCUAUUCUGAGUUUGGGAGCCAAAUGUGAAAAAGCUCUACGUCCUGCAGUGGACUUUGCUAUCCUAGUGUGGUGGGGAAGCCCAUUACUUUCCCUAAUAAUUAUGUGGGUCGUAAGCCAAUUGGCUGUCAUUAUGGGGAUAUAAAGGGCGGUAGACCUGUGCUUGAGGUCAGCGUCAUUGUCAACGUCACUAACGCGUCGCGAACGCUGUACUGUGGCUGCUUCCGGCAUCAGGUGUGGACAUUGGAGAGAGUAAGCUCCGAUUGCAUGAUUGCCUUUCCCUCGCGUAUCGUUCGAAUCAGCUGUUCUGUUUCUCGUGCGGGUCUCGCACUGCUGCUGUGGCUGCCGUUGUUGUGUGUGACUAUGCAUACAUCAGAUGCGUCAUCGGUGCUCCCCUUGAAAUAUUGAAAGUGUUGACUGCUAGUCCGGGCGCGUUUCACGUCCUGCCCACGGAUAACAUUGCUGUUUUGUUUUGUGUUGAUUUUGUUUUAUAGUUUGUUUUGUUUGUCUUUAUUUAUAUUUGGUUAAAAGUGAUAUUCUCUGCUCUUCUUUGUCUUCGUAUUUUCUAUUAGUUUUCUGUGUAUUUAUUUUUAGUUGAUUCCUAUUUUCCAAAGAACCUUAUCCUCGUUCUUGGGUUUAUUUUGCAGCUCAUCAUUUUGUUGGCUGUUCGAUUAAUUGUAUAUUUUGUUAAAUGUGAUCUUUUUCUCCUUUUGUAUUUUUCUAGUUUGUAUUUUUGUUUUGCUGUUUUCUUUUUUUUGUAAACUGUUAAAAAUUAACUGUUUCUAUUGUGCAUCUUCUUGAUUUUUUUGAACUUAUUCGUUGUUAUUUGAGGGCAAAUAGGCCUUGUCCAUUUCUUUUGCAGUUUGGUUAAUUCUUAUUGUUUGUGUUUUGUCAAUUAGUUUAAAUUAACAUGAGGGCAGUUCAGUGUCAUGUUUAAUAAUUCUGUGUGUAUCUUAGUGAUUCUUUAUUGAGAUUGCUCUGUUUUUGUGUCACAGGAUCUGGGUGCCAAAGGCAGGGAGGCCGGCUCUAUUCCCUUCUAGUGGUGGUGGUGUUAUUCACAGUGUGGUGUGUGUGUGUGUGUGUGUUUGCGUGCACUGGUAAAAGGAAUGAUUUCUGACAGCCUGACCCUGCUGGUAAGCCCCAGUUAGCUGGUGUUCCUGUGACAUUCGUAGAGCUAAACUCUUAUGAUGCGCUGUGCUUUGGCUGAGGCCGAUAUGUUUUAAUGAUUGUUUUAAAGGGACUCUGAUUUAAUAAAGUAAAUUGUUUUGUAUUGUUGCCCA